AAAGCCCCGCGAGGUCAAGACUUAAACAAGUUGAAAAACUUAUUCGGGUGUUACCAUUUAGUAGUCGAUUGUACGGAAUAUGUACUGUACUGUGCAAUCUACUAAUAAAAGUAUCAAUCAAUCAAUCAAAGACAAAGGGUUUGUACCUCAGGCUGAACAAAUGCACUUGUGAUGUCUUUAUUGUGCUGUCUCAUAAGUAGGUAGUUAUUUUCAAUGAUGGAAAGUGACACGCGGUAGAAAAUGAAUGGAUUUGAGGUUGUGCAAGACAGUGCAGGUCUUUCAGGAUUAUGAUUUACAGAUGAUCUAAAUGAGAACACGAGUAUUGAUGAUGACAAGCCUCCCAAAAUGACGGCAAUGAACAUUACUGUCUUAUUUUCCAAGCUCACUCCGCCACCAUUAUCAAGGCCACAGCCUCUGCGGGUAAACCCACUCACUAUAAUUAAAACACCACACUCACAGCGCAUCCCACAACCAACCAGUGCAGUGUUUAGGUGGCCAAUCACUUGCAUAAUUCACCACUUCAGAUAACAACAAAGCAAGAAUGACAUCCACAGUCACUUUAAUUUGCUGAAUUUCCUGAAAAACGUGGUCAUAUUAGAGUAACGCGUUACCGGCAUCGCCGUCCCUGUCUCCCUUGCAAUGUGUGCAAGAUAAACGUGAGUUGCGAUAACCCAAGAACACCUUCCCUUUUCCGUCACAACUUACCAUAUUUGUCAAAAAGCUCUUUGAGAUUGUCAUCAUUCAUAUCAUCCCCAAAGUUCUUUAUAUAGACAUUGGUGAACUCCUUAGCUUUGGCGCCAAGCUCAGCCUCUCGCUCCUUGCGAGAUUUGAAGCGACCCACAAACCUACAGAUGCAGAAAGAGAAACAAUACGCACACUUUUAAAAACAGCCCACAUUAUAGACUUAUUUUCUUAUAUCUCCGCUGAAGCUCCACAUUGACCGCCUGCUAGUUAGAGAAGAUUUACCAUUCCGAAAACAUAGCUAUAUUUCAUCACCGCAGCAGGAAUAAACAAUGAAAGAAAUACAUUACAUUUGCUGUUAAUAUCACCAGAGGCAGGCAGAUAUGUUUGCAUGCUUGACACGACACAGUGACAACCAUCAGUACCACCUUGGUCCAAAAUGAGGAGGAUGAUGAGGAAGUGGAUGGAGAAGGAUGGAGGAACAGUGUCGCACAGUACAAAGGACCAAAUGUUCUUAUAUAUACCUUUCUAUGACGACCUCUCCCAUUGUGCCAUCCAGUAUUGCAUUCCUGCAUUCGAUCCAUCACUAAAACACACAAGCCUGGUCAUACACACACAAACACACUCAGACGGGGCUGACCAGCGAGUGCAAUCAGGCUGCAUGGAAUGUUUCUGGUGAAUAGACGCGCGUUUUAGUUGGUUAUUUUGUCAGUUGAGGCGUUAUUUUCACACUGACGAAAGCGACAGAGGAGCCUAGUAGUCACAAUAUUCAGUCACCAACUGAACAAGAAAAAGUGCACAACAGAAAAGUAAAGGUUGGCAAAUAAGAGACAGAAACAGGCUGACCAACAAAGUUAUUGAUGUUAUCACCAAAAGUGCAGCAUUUGAACUUUUCUUACGUGGUGGACAAUGUAAACAAUAAUUCAAUGAUCAGACACUCACACCUUGCGGUCAUUCAACAGCAUGCCGUUCAUCUUCUCAAUGGCUCGGUCAGCAGCAUCCUGGGUCUCAAAGUGGACAAAAGCGUAGCCCUUGGAGCCAUUUUCAUCACACACAACCUGGAGGACAAGAAUAACAACACCUUGCAGGAGAGGAUGUUUCCAAAGGCAGAGAAUGUGUCAUAUAGGGCUUUGUUAUCAAUGGACUUGUCAAGGUUCUUGAUGAAGACGUUGCCCACUCCGGACUUCCUGAGGGAGGGAUCUCUUUGGGACCACAUGAUUCUGAUUGGCCUUCCUUUCACUACAUCAAAGUUCAUGGUGUCCAAGGCACGCUCGGCUGGUUGGGGAAGAGAAGCACACAGUAGAGAUAAGGGUGUUUGUUUACAUGUAGUUACGUGUUAAUAUUGUACCUUAAAACAAAUACUUUAUAGUAUGCUACAAAUGCUGUGGAAUAAAGAGGUCAGUAAACCUGUUUCUUAAGAA